rnacentral:rRNA from 1 species
AGAGUUUGAUCCUGGCUCAGGACGAACGCUGGCGGCGUGCUCAACACAUGCAAGUCGAACGCUGAAGCCCAGCUUGCUGGGUGGAUGAGUGGCGAACGGGUGAGUAACACGUGAGUAACCUGCCCUUCACUUCGGGAUAACUC